CGCGAGAACCUUAACCAGGCCUUGCAUGCUGAGAACCUGCCAGAGAUGGCGGGGUGCUUCGGGACUCAGACACAGGUGCUGCAUGGCUGUCGUCAGCUCGUGUCGUGAGAUGUUGGGUUGAGUCCCGUGACGAGCGCAACCCUUGUCCUUAGUUCCAGCACGCUAUGGUGGGCACUCUAAGGAGACUGCCGGUGACAGAACCGGAGGAAGGUGGGGAUGACGUCAAAUCAUCAUGCCCCUUAUGCCUGGGCUACACACGUGCUACAAUGGAUGGUACAAAGGGCUGCCAAACCGCGAGGUUGAGCGAAUCCCAUAAAACCAUUCUCAGUUCGGAUUGCAGGCUGCAACUCGCCUGCAUGAAGCUGGAAUCGCUAGUAAUCGCGGAUCAGGCGAUGCCGCGGUGAAUACGUUCCCGGGCCUUGUACACACCGCCCGUCACACCGCGAAAGUCUGUCACGCCCGAAGCCGGUGCGCUAACCGCAAGGAAGCAGCCGUCGAAGGCAGGGCCGAUGAUUGGGGUGAAGUCGUAACAAGGUAACC
rnacentral:rRNA from 1 species